rnacentral:misc_RNA from 1 species
GUUGGAGGUGAACGAGGAUGGGGGUGCUGAUGUUCAUUUUGAGGCUUUUCAAAUGAGUGACAUGUGCAUUAGAUUGUUCAAGGAAGGUUGGUUUGAGACGGAUAUUGGAGAGGAUUUUGAUCCCAAGCUCUCGAAGAUGAGGAGGGACGUUGUUGUUGGUGUCAAAGACACUAGAGAUGUUGACAAUGACUUUUUCCUGGUCGUAGUUAAGAUUUUCGACCAUCAGGGCCCACUUUCAACAACAUUUCCGAUUGAAAACCGAAAUGCUCCAGUGACCAUGAAGGCAUUGAAGAAUCACCUGGACCGCUCAAAAGGGCUUCCGUUUGUGAAGCGAAUUUCUGACUUUCAUUUGCUGCUGUUACUAGCCA